GACAGAGGUGCCAAGCGUUAGGCGGAAUCACUGGGCCUAAAGCGUGUGUAGGCGGGUGGCUAAGUACCUUGUGAAAUCCCCCGGCUCAACCGGGGAACGGCUGGGUAUACUGGGUGCCUUGGGUCAUCUAGGGGCUGCCGGAACAAAUGGUGGAGCGGUGAAAUGCGUAGAUAUCAUUUGGAACGCCAACGGCGAAAGCAGGCAGCUGGGGAUGCACCGACGCUGAGACACGAAAGCCAGGGGAGCGAACGGG
rnacentral:rRNA from 1 species